rnacentral:rRNA from 1 species
UCGAGAAUCUUCCGCAAUGGGCGCAAGCCUGACGGAGCGAUGCCGCGUGAGGGAUGAAGGUCUUCGGAUUGUAAACCUCUGUCACCGUGGAGGAACAGAAUGACUGUACACGGAGAGGAAGUCACGGCUAACUACGUGCCAGCAGCCGCGGUAAUACGUAGGUGACUAGCGUUGUUCGGAUUUAUUGGGCGUAAAGGGUCCGCAGGGGGCCGGCUAAGUCUGAUGUGAAAUCCCGAAGCUUAACUUCGGAACGGCAUUGGAAACUGGCUGGCUAGAGCAUCGGAGAGGAGAGUGGAAUUCCAGGUGUAGCGGUGAAAUGCGUAGAUAUGGGGAGGAACACCAGUGGCGAAGGCGGCUUUCUGGACGGUGUCUGACACUGAGGCGCGAAAGCCAGGGGAGCGAACG